UACGUAGGUGGCAAGCGUUGUCCGGAAUCAUUGGGCGUAAAGCGCGCGUAGGCGGCUUCGUAAGUCGGCUGUGAAAGUCAAAGGCUCAACCUUUGAAAUCCGGUGGAUACUGCGGGGCUAGAGUACGGAAGAGGCGAGUGGAAUUCCUGGUGUAGCGGUGGAAUGCGCAGAUAUCAGGAGGAACACCAAUAGCGAAGGCAGCUCGCUGGGACGUUACUGACACUGAGGCGCGAAAGCGUGGGGAGCGAACAGG
rnacentral:rRNA from 1 species